rnacentral:tRNA from 1 species
GGGGUUGUAGUCCAGUGGUAAGACGUCCUCUCUUGAAGAGGAAGACGGUGGUUCGAUUCCGCCCUGCUCCA